rnacentral:rRNA from 1 species
GCCAGAAGACUCGGUAAGACCAGAGACGCAAACGUUAAUCAUCAUAAGCAGGCGUAAAGGGUUUGUAGGCAGCUCCCACCGAGACUAUGAUUCCAAAAUAAAGUAGUCUAAUUGAGAGCUAGAAUCAAAAAGAGGUUAUAGUGUAUAACGCCUAGAGGAGGGCUGAUAUCCAUAGAUCCUAGGCGAAUACUCAGGGCGAAGGCCACUCUCCACUAAUGAUUGACGCUGAGAAACGAAGGUUAGGGUAGGAAAUAGGAUUAGAUACCCCGGUACUCCUUUCUGUAAACGUAUGAAUGGUAGUCAUUAGUUUAAACACUA